UCACAAGUUGAGUCCCUCAAGACUUCUGAACGACAACAGGCCACAUACUUCAUCCAAAGAGGACGCAUUGGUUUGCGCUUAUUGUUUUGUUAGUUUAGGAACGUAACAGGUGAAAUAUAGGCUGCUGUGAGUGUAUACACAAGGUCAGUGUUGCCAAUGGAUACGUUCAAAGACGACUAGUAAGACUAGUAAAGAGAAAUGCUUGGUAGGUUUUCUUUAGAUAGCAGAUACGCAGUGGAUGGAAGUAACAGUUUGUUAAAAUGCCAUAUAAUUAAUAAUAAUAGAUCGAGAGAAUAUAUUUUUUAGAUAUAUGGUCUGGUGAUUCUUAGAAAGAGGGAUGGACAGAACGAAGUAAUACGCGUUCCGUGGCGUGGACUUCUGUGAGCUGGCGCUUAAUGCUGCGCUAACACUCAUUAGUUUGGAGGCGCUGCAUCAUCAUGGUGGUCGAGAGGACACUUCUCGCAGCGAGGCAAGGGGAUGUGCAAACUCUGAAAGUACAGUUAGCGGAGAAGGUGCUCAACAGCGAUGUGAAGGAUGUGCUGGGAGCGACUCCCGUGCACCACGCCGCGCGAGCGGGGAAGCUCACCUGCCUGCGGUAUUUGGUUGAGGAAGCGGGUUUACCGGCGAGCAGCCUGGCGAGAAACGGCGCAAGCCCUGCGCAUGACGCCGCAGCCACGGGAAACCUGAGCUGCCUUCAGUGGCUCGUGACGCACGGAGGAUGUCGAGCGGCCGGUAAGGACAGCUCAGGGGCGACUGUCCUGCACCUGGCGUCCCGCUUCAGCCAUCAUGAGAUCAUUGAUUGGCUGCUGAAGAGCGGGGAAGGGGAUCCUACUGUUGCCACGGAUACGGGGGCGUUGCCUGUUCAUUAUGCUGCAGCUAAAGGGGACUUACCCUCGCUCAGACUGCUCCUGGAGCACAGCCCACAAGUUGUCAAUUUCCAAACGAAGAAUGGUGCCACACCACUAUACCUUGCAUGUCAGGAGGGCCACCUGGAAGUCGUCCAGUACCUAGUGAAGGACUGCGGGGCGGAGCCAAGUAUCAGAGCCAAUGAUGGGAUGACACCGUUGCACGCUGCUGCCCAGAUGGGACACAACACUGUCAUUGUCUGGCUGAUGAGUUUCACAGAAAUCAGCCUGUCUGACAGAGACAAUGAUGGGGCCACUGCCAUGCACUUUUCUGCCAGCCGCGGCCAUGCUAAGGUCCUCAGCUGGCUGCUGCUUCACGGCGGGGAGAUAGUGAUGGACAGCUGGGGCGGGACACCUCUUCAUGACGCAGCCGAGAACGGAGAGCUGGAGUGCUGUCAGAUUCUGGUAGUGAACGGCGUGGACAUGGGGAUACGGGACCAGGAUGGGUUCUCAGCAGCAGACCUGGCUGAAUACAACGGGCAUCAGCAGUGUGCCAAGUACCUCCGCACUGUUGAAAACAUGAGUGUGGAGCACCGAGUCUUGUCCCGGGACCCUUCAGCAGAUCUGGAGUAUAAGCAGCCGGACUCAGGCCUCUCCUCUCCGAAUGCCACCCUGCCCACCCCAGCCCCCACCGCGGCCCAUUUCGACAUCUGCUCCCCCUCCAGCUCGCUGUCCAAUUAUGACUCAGCCAACUCCAGCCAAUCCAGUACUGGAGAGAAGAGGAGCGGCACGCCUCCCUCCCGAGCACCCACAGGAGGUGAAGAAUCGGUCAUUACAGACAUGCAGGCCUAUAUGGACAUGCUGAACCCUGAUGUCGCAGACAGCUCCCAGAAUGCAAAGGAACAUCCUGCACACCUGCCGCCCCCUCCAACAUUUCCCCCUCCCCCUCCUCCAUCAGACUCCUCCCACACACCCCCUCCCCCACCUGCCUACCCCCCACCCAAACCACCGGAGGAGGAGGAGUCUGCCGAGUACCUGAAGGUGAAGAGGAACCUUCGCCGAGUGGACAAUGAUGUGGUCAAAAAAGAGCAGCUGAAUCCUGGCGAGGGCCACGAAAGGCUUCGAAGAGUCGACUCUAAUCGAAAGUCCCGCAGCUUCAGCAAGCAGCCCAGCACUGGGGAUUACUACAAAACCCUGGGUAGUGAUCCCGCAGACCAGCACCCCAACAGAGCCAUGGCACCCAACGAGGAGGGUUCUGCACUGUUGGAGGACGCAGCAGACACAGCGCCUGCUCCGGAGAACGGGACGGGAAACACUGAGGAUCUACCCCUUCCUCCUCCACCACCUCCCCCACCUGCCAGCACCUUCAUCCCUCCUCCUCCUCCUCCUCCACCUCUUCCAUCAGAGCUGCCCCCUCCUCCUCCACCCAGCAGCAGCGCACCGGCCCCUGCCCAGCGCCGCAUGUCUUCCUCCUCCAGCAAAGGGGAUCUCUCCUCUUCUCAUCUGUCUCCCUCUGUCGCCCCUGCUCCAGAAACUCUCCGGCAGAGGAAGAGCAAUAAAUCCUUCAACAUGAUGUCCCCCACUGGAGAUAAUUCUGAGCUUCUGGCCGAAAUUAAAGCUGGGCCAAAACUGAAGCCAACACCUCAGAGUAAAGGCUACACGACCGUCUUCUCUAACAGCGGCACAGCGGGGAACAAUGAGGAACGUCCGUCAUCGCCGCCAGAGCCUCUGCCAAAACCCCAGCCCAACAACACCCAAUCUGCAAAACCAGAGUCUCCACCGCCUGCUUGCCCACCCACUCCACCCACUCCACCCGCUCCCACGACCAGCGGAGGGUCGCCCCAGAACCUGUCCACCUCACAGAGCAGCGAGAAGCUCACAACUGCUGUCAACGGAAACACUCCUGCUGUCCAGUGCAAGUCCAGCGUGGUGGACGUAGAGAGCCUGGUGCCCACACACGACGAGCAGGGCCGGCCCAUCCCAGAGUGGAAGAGACAGGUGAUGGUGAGGAAACUACAAGUGAAGAUGCAGGAGGAGGAAGAGAACAAGAGAAAGGUUGAAGAAGAGGCGGCCCGUUUGGCUUCAUUGCCUGCCUGGAGGAGAGAUAUCAUGAAGAAAAAGAUGGAAGAAGAGAAGUAAGUUAAAGCCAUAGCUCUUGCUUUAGUCUUUCUGUUUGCUUCUUACUGUCCCCUGUGUUUUUACACUUUAUUGUUUGCAAACCUGAUUCAACCGUCAACCUCAAGUUUGACUGUUUUCUAUACAUUAUAGUUUUACUACUGUGGUAAAGUUGCUUGUAUAUGUGGCAGAUUUAUAAUUCAAUUCCAUGUUUAACUUGAAUAAUGAACAUAACCUUUAAAAUAAAGUCUUUGUUUUGUUGUCCUUGCCAGUUUCAAAUAUCAUUAAUACUAAUAUCACCAGUAAUAUUAUUUGUAUUGCAAUUAUCAGUAAUAUACGAGAACCAGCUUUGUUUAUAUCAUUCAUAACUAGAACUGCCUUUAGCAUGCCUGACAUUUCUUCCAUGCAAAUCUGUAAAUUUUCUGUCUUUUACUUUCAUUGUCUUGUGUGGAUUAUAAUACCAAAGUGAUAAGACGUAAGUAAAAUUGUAUUUCCCAUUUUAGUGUUUUUUUUUUAAUCUUGUAGGCAAAUUUACAAAAAUAUAAACAUAUACAUAUACCAAUAAUCCUCUGUUUCUUUUAUUCACUCCUGGAUGGACAGGGAACAGAAAAGGAAAGAGGAAGAGCAGCGGCGAAUGGAAAAAGAGAGCGAGGAGAAGUCGGAGCUGGAGCGACUACGAACGCUGGGCUAUGACGAAACCAAGCUGGCACCGUGGCAGCGGCAGAUUAUUUUAAAGAAAGGCGACAUAGCGAAACAGUAGUAAACUCCCAGUCACCCCCUCCCCGCUCGUAUAAAUGUAGGACACUGUCCAGAGUCUGCCAGACCCUUUAGACACAGACCACGCGUGGGUCACCAGACAGCGUUCUGCAUCGCUUCGUCUGAGCUCUGAAGAUGCACUGUACCGUUAAAGAGAAAAAAAAAAUGAAUCAAACUAAUGUUUUUACUGUGGUCAGGUCUUAUGCAUAAGAUUGUUAGUCAUUUGUUUCAUUUCCAGACAUUUGCAGCAUUCCCCACCUGAUCCAUUCGCUUGUUAUACAUCUCAUUUGAAAUCUCUAGUAAUAUUGUCAAUUAUAAAUAGAAAAUAUAUGUCAAGGAAAUCACAUGUACUUUGCUUGAAACCUUUUUUUUUUUUAUUAUUUACUUUAUGUAAUCUGUUAAAAUAGUCCUGAACAGGUGUUAUGGCACAAUGUAUUCUUACAUAAAGUAAGUGACGCUUUGUGUUAUGGUGCAUCUAUGUUUCUCACAUAAAAAAUGCAAUUUGGAAAUGAUACAUUAUGUAUGUAGAAACAAAUGCAGAAAUAGUUUACCAGUAGUCUCUUUGCACUGUACAUAUACAUGUUUCACCAAAAGGUGGCGUCAGAGAGCACAACUUAUAAUAGUCUAUAGCUAACAAACUCAGAAUGUAUUUCAGAUCUAGAUAAUAACAGCCACCUACGAAAACACAUUAUGAAAUUAAAGUGAAACCCAUAAGAGCACAAGAAAAGCCAAUGUCUUAAUAUUCUAUUGCAUCUGAUGGUCUAAGUAAAAAAAACCUGUCACCCUUUGUGCUGAGAUUUACACGGGACAUUGAUGGGGAAAUGAUGUCAAUUAAAGUGUCAUGAAACCAUGACAGUGUAUUCAGCCAUGCUGCGCUCCCCAAUAAUGAAGCUGUCUUUUCCUUCUCUGCUGGGCAACUGUAGCUUGUUGUUUAUUGUUAAUGUAUUUAGAGUAACUAGACAUCAGAGAAGUGCCGGAUGUGAAACUGUAUGUGAGUGUGUGUGUGUGUGUGCAUGUGUGAAAGUAUAUGUGUGUGUGCAUAUUUACACAUGCAUAUAAACGUAAUUUGUCUAUCUUGUGUCAGUCACUGUGCAAUGGGUAGAGUUUAUGUAUAGUAUUUUUUUUUCUUUACUACUGUAUAAGUGUAUAAGUGAUAAGCAUGGUCCUCCUUGAGUUUGGGAACAUUCUGCUUUCGUUUAUCAGAUGCCAUAAUGAUGCUGUAAACAAAGAUGUGAACGUCAUUGCCAUUAGAACAUUUUCUAUUCAUAAUUACUCCAUUUAGAAAUACUUAUAAACUCUUAUGGGCCAAUAAUAUCAUGGUCAGUUACAUGUUUUUUUUUGUUGGUUUUUUGUUUUCUGGUUUCAGCCUGGCUUUCAUAGGCAGACGAUUGUAAACUUUCAUUUUCCCAAUUGCAACGGUAAUGUAAUAAAAAAUCAAAACAA